rnacentral:rRNA from 1 species
UACGGAGGAUGCAAGCGUUAUCCGGAAUGAUUGGGCGUAAAGCGUCCGCAGGUGGCAGUUCAAGUCUGCUGUCAAAGACCGGGGCUUAACUUCGGAAAGGUAGUGGAAACUGAACAGCUAGAGUAUGGUAGGGGCAGAGGGAAUUCCUGGUGUAGCGGUGAAAUGCGUAGAGAUCAGGAAGAACAUCCGUGGCUAAGGCGGCUCUCUAGUACGGUACUGACGCUGAGACGCGAAAGCGUGGGGAGCGAACAGG